CAGAGGCUGCUGCCCUGCAAUACUACCUGGACAGGGAUAAACAAAGGCCCGGUGGCACCGACUGGGGGCAUGAGGUUUUCAGGACACUGUCAGCCCAGGAACAUAACAAUGUUCCAUUUGGCCUCAAGGAUUCAAGUGUGGAGUCCAAACGCCAGACCCUGAACUUCCAGCGCAAGGCCAGGAGCUACUCCAAUGUGGAGGGGAAGCUCCACAAGAAUGGUAAACUUGUUAUGAUUCAGGAGGACUUCAAAGACAUCAUGCGUGUUUAUCAUGAUGCCGCCUCACACCCGGGCAUCACAGUAGUGAAGCGAAAGGUUUGGGGAAUGUGAGGUGAACAAGCUGAAAGGUUAUUUCACUGCGGUGAAGCCAUAUCUUCAGAGCCUUGCAGGAGGACAGAUCCCAGACAACGAGAGGCAUAGCCUCUUCUUCGGGCGAGAGGAGAAUGGAUGGUCCACCAGAAAAAAACUGUGGGAUGUGCAUCACUCAGGGGCCUUCACAGAGGACCA